UACGUAGGGACCAAGCGUUGUCCGGAUUUAUUGGGCGUAAAGAGCGUGUAGGCGGCCAGACAGGUCUGCUGUGAAAACUCGAGGCUCAACCUCGAGACGCCGGUGGAAACCGUCUGGCUAGAGUCCGGAAGAGGAGAGUGGAAUUCCUGGUGUAGCGGUGAAAUGCGCAGAUAUCAGGAGGAACACCGGUGGCGAAGGCGGGUCUCUGGGCCGAUACUGACACUGAGGAGCGAAAGCGUGGGGAGCGAACAGG
rnacentral:rRNA from 1 species